UUAAAUUGAAGAGUUUGAUCAUGGCUCAGAUUGAACGCUGGCGGCAGGCCUAACACAUGCAAGUCGAACGGUAACAGGAAGCAGCUUGCUGCUUCGCUGACGAGUGGCGGACGGGUGAGUAAUGUCUGGGAAACUGCCUGAUGGAGGGGGAUAACUACUGGAAACGGUAGCUAAUACCGCAUAACGUCGCAAGACCAAAGAGGGGGACCUUCGGGCCUCUUGCCAUCGGAUGUGCCCAGAUGGGAUUAGCUAGUAGGUGGGGUAACGGCUCACCUAGGCGACGAUCCCUAGCU
rnacentral:rRNA from 1 species